rnacentral:misc_RNA from 1 species
GAAGUGCGAUAAGCAAUGCGAAUUGCAGAACCGUGAGUCAUCAGAUUUUUGAACGCAACUGGCGCUAGCUGGCUCUCCAGCUAGCAUGCUUGUUUCAGUGUCUCUUUAUCUCAUCACCCAAAUCAUAAUGCGAUAGAUACCCUUCUAUUGCUAAGCUCGAAAGCACUCUGCACUCUGCGAGCGACUUCGAUUCGAGGUCGCACUCAAUGCAGCAGUCACAUUGUUACAAUGUGAACUCAUUGAGAGUAGAGGCAGUGCAGGCAACUGCGAGUGCUUAGACACUUAAACUUUCCUUGUAUCUGAAAUCAAGCAGGAUAACCCGCUGAACUUAA